rnacentral:rRNA from 1 species
AGAGUUUGAUCCUGGCUCAGAACGAACGCUGGCGGCGUGGAUUAGGCAUGCAAGUCGAACGCGAAAGUCACCUUCGGGUGGCGAGUAGAGUGGCGAACGGGUGAGUAACGCGUGAGGAACCUGCCCUCAGCAGGGGGACAACACUCCCAACGGAGUGCUAAUACCGCAUGAGACCACGGAGCUGCAUAGCCCCGAGGUCAAAGGUGGCCUCUGCUUGCAAGCUACCGGCUGAGGAUGACCUCGCGUCCCAUUAGCUAGUUGGCGGUGUAACGGACCACCAAGGCGACGAUGGGUAGCUGGUCUGAGAGGAUGGUCAGCCACACUGGGACUGAGAUACGGCCCAGACUCCUACGGGGGGCAGCAGUCGAGAGGCUUUGUCAAUGGGGGAAACCCUGAACAAGCGACGCCGCGUGAAGGAUGAAGGCCCUUGGGUUGUAAACUUCUUUUGCUGGGGAAGAAACGCGAUCAUGUGAAUAAUGUGGUCGCUUGACGGUACCCGGCGAAUAAGCUCCGGCUAACUCCGUGCCAGCAGCCGCGGUAACACGGGGGGAGCAAGCGUUGUUCGGAAUUACUGGGCGUAAAGGGCGUGUAGGCGGUUAGGUAAGUGGGACGUGAAAUCCCUCGGCUCACCCGAGGACCUGCGUCCCAAACUGCUUGACUUGAGUAUGGGAGAGGAUGAGGGAAUUCCUGGUGUAGCGGUGAAAUGCGUAGAUAUCAGGAGGAACACCGGUGGCGAAGGCGCUCAUCUGGCCCAAUACUGACGCUGAGGCGCGAAAGCUAGGGGAGCAAACGGGAUUAGAUACCCUGGUAGUCC